UCUCUGUUAUUUAGUUGUUAGUACCCAUUUCAAUAUAUAUAUACAUGCAUAUUGAUGAUCUGAAUGGACAUAUUCUAGUCAUGGAAUCAUGCUUUUCUUCCUCUUCAUUAAAAAUUCCCUUCUGGCUUCUGUGUCUGCAUGAUGACAUUGCAAAGUUAGAAAGCAGUCUUUCUUUUUUCAUUAAGACUUUUUCCUGAUGGGGGUGAAGGAAAUAGCUCGGAACACUCAGACAAACCAGCUCCUCCUGUCCACCCAUUCCACCCAAAUAUGACAAUCCGACGUGGCGUGUUGGCAUCGGAUAGUGCAGAUAUAAUGCAGCAAUUCUUCCAGCUGAGGAGAAGGAAGAAGGAAAAGCAAGCAGACCCGGCAGCAGCGCCCCCGCGUCUUCAUCGAAUUUCUCUCCAUCCAUCAAAGUUAAUUACGAAGAUGCAUCGCAUCUUCCACAUAAUGUUCUGUUUGUAAGAGUUCAAAGACUGUUAGUUUGAUGAAUGUACAAAUCUGUGUCGAAUUUUGGCGAAAUUUAGUUGUCUUUCUCUCAGUUUGUCCAAAAA